rnacentral:lncRNA from 1 species
ACACUCUCUACAAGGGUAAAGCAAACUGGGAGGUGCUGGUUCUGGCUCCAGAGGGACUGGGGUCUGGGGCCUGUCACCUGGUCCUGCCUGUGUUUCCUGGGAGGAGGACCUGGUUGAUAGAAGAAUUUAUCUCGUAGUCUUAACAUCCACUGUAAUUCCAAACUUUGAGGACGAUAGAGAUCAGUGGGCUUUGACUGCCCAGCAUGCAGUCUCCAUUCUUAGGUGGGUUCCCAAGCCUGUAAAAUGUAAGCCUUAUGCUGCUGAGGGCCAUCUUGCCACCCUGAGGGAAACGCUGCCUGAGAAUGAAACAAGCAUAAGUAAAAGCUGAGCUGUGAGAUGGAGCAAGAUGAAGGCCACAUGACAUCUUUGGAGCACCUGGAUCUAACUGUGCCUUAAGCUAGUCUAACCCUGAACAUUUCAUCAUUUCAUUGACAUGAGCCCAGGUUUUCUUUUUUUUUGGAUGGAGUCUUGCUCUGUCGCCCAGGCUGGAGUGCAGUAGCUCAAUCUCGGCUCACUGCAA